AUAAGCGCUGCAGACGGCGUCCAUUACUGGCCAUGAUCUCACUCUUACACUGGGACUGAGACACGGCCCAGACUCCUACGGGAGGCAGCAGUGGGGAAUAUUGCACAAUGGGCGGAAGCCUGAUGCAGCAACGCCGCGUGAGGGAUGACGGCCUUCGGGUUGUAAACCUCUUUUAGCAGGGAAGAAGCGAAAGUGACGGUACCUGCAGAAAAAGCGCCGGCUAACUACGUGCCAGCAGCCGCGGUAAUACGUAGGGCGCAAGCGUUAUCCGGAAUUAUUGGGCGUAAAGAGCUCGUAGGCGGUUUGUCGCGUCUGCUGUGAAAUCCCGAGGCUCAACCUCGGGCCUGCAGUGGGUACGGGCAGACUAGAGUGCGGUAGGGGAGAUUGGAAUUCCUGGUGUAGCGGUGGAAUGCGCAGAUAUCAGGAGGAACACCGAUGGCGAAGGCAGAUCUCUGGGCCGUAACUGACGCUGAGGAGCGAAAGGGUGGGGAGCAAACAGGCUUAGAUACCCUGGUAGUCCACCCCGUAAACGUUGGGAACUAGUUGUGGGGACCAUUCCACGGUUUCCGUGACGCAGCUAACGCAUUAAGUUCCCCGCCUGGGGAGUACGGCCGCAAGGCUAAAACUCAAAGGAAUUGACGGGGACCCGCACAAGCGGCGGAGCAUGCGGAUUAAUUCGAUGCAACGCGAAGAACCUUACCAAGGCUUGACAUAUACGAGAACGGGCCAGAAAUGGUCAACUCUUUGGACACUCGUAAACAGGUGGUGCAUGGUUGUCGUCAGCUCGUGUCGUGAGAUGUUGGGUUAAGUCCCGCAACGAGCGCAACCCUCGUUCUAUGUUGCCAGCACGUAAUGGUGGGAACUCAUGGGAUACUGCCGGGGUCAACUCGGAGGAAGGUGGGGAUGACGUCAAAUCAUCAUGCCCCUUAUGUCUUGGGCUUCACGCAUGCUACAAUGGCCGGUACAAAGGGCUGCAAUACCGUAAGGUGGAGCGAAUCCCAAAAAGCCGGUCCCAGUUCGGAUUGAGGUCUGCAACUCGACCUCAUGAAGUCGGAGUCGCUAGUAAUCGCAGAUCAGCAACGCUGCGGUGAAUACGUUCCCGGGUCUUGUACACACCGCCCGUCAAGUCAUGAAAGUCGGUAACACCUGAAGCCGGUGGCCCAACCCUUGUGGAGGAGCCGUC
rnacentral:rRNA from 1 species